GCUCGUGUCGUGAGAUGUUCGGUUAAGUCCGCUAACGAGCGCAACCCUCGCUGUGUGUUUAUAUGUGUCACACGGGACUGCCGGGUUCUUAAGCCGGAGGAAGGUGGGGAUGAUGUCAAGUCAGCAUGGCCUUUAUAUCCUGGGCUACACACACGCUACAAUGGCCAACACAAUAGGUUGCUAAGCCGCGAGGUGGCGCCAAUCCAUAAAGUUGGUCUCAGUUCAGAUUGUAGGCUGCAACCCGCCUGCAUGAAGAUGGAGUUGCUAGUAACCGCAGGUCAGCUAUACUGCGGUGAAUACGUUCCCGGGGCUU
rnacentral:rRNA from 1 species